ACCGUGGUAAUUCUAGAGCUAAUACAUGCUGAAAAUCCCGACUUCGGAAGGGAUGUGUUUAUUAGAUAAAAAACCAAUGCCCUUCGGGGCUUUUUGGUGAUUCAUGAUAACUUUACGGAUCGCAUAGCCUUGCGCUGGCGACGGUUCAUUCAAAUUUCUGCCCUAUCAACUUUCGAUGGUAAGGUAUUGGCUUACCAUGGUUUCAACGGGUAACGGGGAAUUAGGGUUCGAUUCCGGAGAGGGAGCCUGAGAAACGGCUACCACAUCCAAGGAAGGCAGCAGGCGCGCAAAUUACCCAAUCCCGACACGGGGAGGUAGUGACAAUAAAUACUGAUACAGGGCUCUUUUGGGUCUUGUAAUUGGAAUGAGUACAAUUUAAACCUCUUAACGAGGAACAAUUGGAGGGCAAGUCUGGUGCCAGCAGCCGCGGUAAUUCCAGCUCCAAUAGCGUAUAUUAAAGUUGUUGCAGUUAAAAAGCUCGUAGUUGAAACUUGGGUCUGGCUGGCGGGUCCGCCUCACCGCGUGCACUCGUCCGGCCGGGCCUUCCUUCUGAAGAACCUCAUGCCCUUUACUGGGCGUGUUGGGGAAUCAGGACUUUUACUUUGAAAAAAUUAGAGUGUUCAAAGCAGGCCUUUGCUCGAAUACGUUAGCAUGGAAUAAUAAAAUAGGGCGUGCGUUUCUAUUUUGUUGGUUUCUAGAGACGCCGCAAUGAUUAACAGGAACAGUCGGGGGCAUCAGUAUUCAGUUGUCAGAGGUGAAAUUCUUGGAUUUACUGAAGACUAACUACUGCGAAAGCAUUUGCCAAGGAUGUUUUCAUUAAUCAGUGAACGAAAGUUAGGGGAUCGAAGACGAUCAGAUACCGUCGUAGUCUUAACCGUAAACUAUGCCGACUAGGGAUCGGGCGAUGUUCUUUUUCUGACUCGCUCGGCACCUUACGAGAAAUCAAAGU
rnacentral:rRNA from 1 species